rnacentral:rRNA from 1 species
CCCCGGCUCUUGUCUAUGUUCCUUGGAACAGGACGUCACAGAGGGUGAGAAUCCCGUGCGAUGAGAUGACCCGGGUCUGUGUAAAGUUCCUUCGACGAGUCGAGUUGUUUGGGAAUGCAGCUCUAAGUGGGUGGUAAAUUCCAUCUAAAGCUAAAUAUUGGCGAGAGACCGAUAGCGAACAAGUACAGUGAUGGAAAGAUGAAAAGAACUUUGAAAAGAGAGUGAAAAAGUACGUGAAAUUGUUGAAAGGGAAGGGCUUGAGAUCAGACUUGGUAUUUUGCAUGCUGCUCUCUCGGGGGCGGCCGCUGCGGUUUACCGGGCCAGCAUCGGUUUGGAGCGGCAGGAUAAUGGCGGAGGAAUGUGGCACGGCUUCUGCUGUGUGUUAUAGCCUCUGACGAUACUGCCAGCCUAGACCGAGGACUGCGGUUUUUACCUAGGAUGUUG